UUCCUGAUGCCGUCCCAUUUUCUGAAAAUUUUUACGCACGCAGUUAGUAUUUGGAGAGAGAGAGAGGGAGAAUAUUUUAUUUUAACUAAAUUUUAAAGCUUUCGAAAAACGAUCAAAAAAGAUGUACAUAACUAGAAAAUCCACAUCGCUGCGUACACAUUUAAGUGGCGCUUGCCAUCACCAAACAUUAUUAUUGCAUGUGGGUAUAUUACUCGUUCCAAUCGCGGUUUGCUCCCUGACAACUGCGACACAAUACAGUAUUUCAAUGUCGCUUCAAAUCCACAAUAAUUACUACGCAAUCACAGUCGAACGGAAAAAAAAGAACAACGUAAAACGCACUACAAGUAGAAUCAGCGAGCGCAACGUGGCGUGACGCAACAAUAAUUUUACUUCACCACUUCAAGUGUGAACGUAGAGUCGGAGGCGCGUAAGUGCGACCCGCAAACAAUACAAAUGAAUUUAUUUAUCAAAACACGUACAUAUUUAUUACGUAUAAAGUCAUAUGUUCGCAGAAAUAGAAUAAUAAUAAAAGUAUUUAUAAACAAAUACAUUCAUACAUGUGUAGAAGUGUAUGCACUAUGUCAUAACAACAGCGUUAACUUUUCUAUUUUGAACAAAUUUGUGCAAUUCUCCAAAAAUAACCAAACACUUAAAACACACAAAGCGCUCGUGUCCGCAAAUGGCACCGUUCAUCAUAUUUGCAUCACAAUAUUUCGAUACGUAAACUAGAAAUAAGCAAGGUGACGCCAAAUUAAUGCGGAGCAUAUUUGUUGUACAUAUUUACAUAUGUAUGUAUGUAUAUUGUAAAAUGUGUAUUAUAUACACAAUCAAUAUUAUUUUGAAUAGUUGCAUACAGGUUGGUUGCACAAAUGGUUGGUCUCACCAAGAAAUAGCACUACUAGCUUUUUUUCUCAAGUUGGUACAGCUGUCGUGAGAACACAUGCAAAGUUACAAGUCAUUCUGUCAAUUAAUUAUUAGUUUACAAGCCAUUUGUAGUUGACGAGUCAAGAGAAUUUUUUUAAUAUGGAAAUAAUUUAAUAUCGCGCAGUGAUUAGAUUCUUUGUUUUGAAAGAUUUAAAAGCAAAGCAAAUUUAUGAACAAUUGUUAGAUGUGUAUAAGGAGUCCUCGCCUUCAAAACGCACCGUUGAAUUUUGGGCUGUUGAAUUUAAACGUGAUUGUAGUAGAUUUAAAUACGAUACACGUGAUGGACGACCAAAAAGCGCAACCACACUAGAAAUGAUUGAGCAAGUUCAUAAUAUUGUUAGUGAAGUUUCAAGUUGGACUAAGCGUGAAAUUGCUAAUACCAUAGGCAUCUCAGGCGAACGAGUACUUCAUAUUUUACAUGGAGAAGACAUAUGAAAAAGCUGUUUGGAAAGUUAGUGCCGCACACGUUAAAAAUUCUACAAAAACUGGACCGCAAACAAAUUUCUCAGCAUAAUUUGGAGCGUUUUGAGCAGAAUAAAGCCCAUUUCUUGCAUCAUUUUAUAACUUUGAAAAAUUGAAACAAGAACGUAUACAGUGGACUGAAGCUGGUUGUUCAGCUCCAAAGCAGUUGAAGUCACAACGAUCAGCAAAAAAGGUUAUGGCAGCAGUUUUUUGGGAUACAAAAAGGAAUUUUGUUGAUUGAUUAUCGGCAAAGAGGUAAAACAAUCAACUCUGAAUAUUAUUGCAGCCGUUUGGAUCACUUGGAUGAAAGAAUUGGUGAUAAUAGACCUGGUUUGCAGACCAAAAUGUGUUAACAAUAGCAAAAUUCAACGAAUUGGUGGAACAUUCACCGUAUUCACCAGAAUUGGCUCCCAGCGACUACUACAUCUACAGAAAGCUGAAACAAUUCCGUCGUGGAAAGCGUUUUUCGUCGAAUGAAGAAGCUAUUACAGCCGUAGGCGGGCACUUUGCAGAGCUUCCGGAAAGUGAUUAUAGGGAUGGCAUAAAAAUGAAUUGAAGGAUCAAUGGAAUAAGUGUAUUGAAGAAAAAAGUUCGACGCGAAAGAGCCAUGAACACACCGAUGUUGGGGCGACCAGAGUUAUUUUUUUCAAACGCGACCGAAGACCAGCCACAAUUCUGGAAUUUAUCACCCAAACGGGGACUAGGUAACCGUUACAACAACAACAACAACAACCAGCCAGCGCAGAAAGGAAUUCGACGCAAGAGAGUUAUGGAGACCCCAGUGUUAAAAAUGUUUUUCUAAACUUGACAAUGAAAAAUCUAUGGAGAAAAAGUGUCAUCAAUUUUGUUGAAAUAUUGGCACUAAAAAAUGUUUUAUUUUUAUGUUUUUA